rnacentral:rRNA from 1 species
UAGGGAAUCUUCCACAAUGGACGAAAGUACUGAUGGAGCAACGCCGCGUGAGUGAAGAAGGGUUUCGGCUCGUAAAACUCUGUUGUUAAAGAAGAACAUAUCUGAGAGUAACUGUUCAGGUAUUGACGGUAUUUAACCAGAAAGCCGCGGCUAACUACGUGCCAC